rnacentral:rRNA from 1 species
GGAGUCUGGACCGUGUCUCAGUUCCAGUGUGGGGGACCUUCCUCUCAGAACCCCUAUCCAUCGUAGCCUUGGUGGGCCGUUGCCCCGCCAACUAGCUAAUGGAACGCAUCCCCAUCCCUUACCGAAUAACUCUUUGGUCAAGUGAAAAGGCUAUCGCUUGACAACAUCGGGGAUUAAUCCUACUUUCGCAGGGCUAUACCCGAGUAAGGGCCAGGUUGGAUACGCGUUACGCACCCGUGCGCCGGUCGCCAUCAGGCGUAUUGCUACGCCAAUGCUGCCCCGCGACUUGCAUGUGUUAGGCCUGUAGCUAGCGUUCAUC